GACGAACGCUGGCGGCGUGCCUAAUACAUGCAAGUAGAACGCUGAAGGAGGAGCUUGCUUCUCUGGAUGAGUUGCGAACGGGUGAGUAACGCGUAGGUAACCUGCCUGGUAGCGGGGGAUAACUAUUGGAAACGAUAGCUAAUACCGCAUAAUAGUAGAUGUUGCAUGACAUUUGCUUAAAAGGUGCAAUUGCAUCACUACCAGAUGGACCUGCGUUGUAUUAGCUAGUUGGUGAGGUAACGGCUCACCAAGGCGACGAUACAUAGCCGACCUGAGAGGGUGAUCGGCCACACUGGGACUGAGACACGGCCCAGACUCCUACGGGAGGCAGCAGUAGGGAAUCUUCGGCAAUGGACGGAAGUCUGACCGAGCAACGCCGCGUGAGUGAAGAAGGUUUUCGGAUCGUAAAGCCCUGUUGUAAGAGAAGAACGAGUGUGAGAGUGGAAAGUUCACACUGUGACGGUAUCUUACCAGAAAGGGACGGCUAACUACGUG
rnacentral:rRNA from 1 species